rnacentral:rRNA from 1 species
CCUACGGGAGUCAGCAGUGGGGAAUAUUGCACAAUGGGGGAAACCCGGAUGCAGCGACGCCGCGGGAGUGAAGAAGUAAUUCGUUAUGUAAAGCUCUAUCAGCAGGGAAGAAAAUGACGGUACCUGAGUAAGAAGCCCCGGCUAACUACGUGCCAGCAGCCGCGGGAAUACGUAGGGGGCAAGCGUUAUCCGGAUUUACUGGGUGUAAAGGGAGCGUAGACGGCAGUGCAAGUAUGGAGUGAAAGGCGGGGGCUCAACCCCCGGACUGCUCUGGAAACUGUACGGCUGGAGUGCAGGAGAGGUGAGUGGAAUUCCUGGUGUAGCGGUGAAAUGCGUAGAUAUUAGGAGGAACACCAGUGGCGAAGGCGGCUUACUGGACUGUAACUGACGUUGAGGCUCGAAAGCGUGGGGAGCAAACAGGAUUAGAUACCCUAGUAGUC